CCGAUCAGGAUGGAGAAGCAGGGCACGUGCAUUACUCACUCAUGUAACUCCACACCCACGUGGCUGCCUCCGAGUGGGUUGUUCAUGUGCCCCUCUUCUCCAUCCUGACCAC